GACGAACGCUGGCGGUGUGCUUAACACAUGCAAGUCGAACGCUGAAGCUUGGUGCUUGCACUGGGUGGAUGAGUGGCGAACGGGUGAGUAAUACGUGAGUAACCUGCCCUUGACUCUGGGAUAAGCCUGGGAAACUGGGUCUAAUACUGGAUACGACAUGUCACCGCAUGGUGGUGUGUGGAAAGGGUUUUACUGGUUUUGGAUGGGCUCACGGCCUAUCAGCUUGUUGGUGGGGUAAUGGCUCACCAAGGCGACGACGGGUAGCCGGCCUGAGAGGGUGACCGGCCACACUGGGACUGAGACACGGCCCAGACUCCUACGGGAGGCAGCAGUGGGGAAUAUUGCACAAUGGGCGGAAGCCUGAUGCAGCGACGCCGCGUGAGGGAUGACGGCCUUCGGGUUGUAAACCUCUUUCAGCACGGAAGAAGCGAAAGUGACGGUACGUGCAGAAGAAGCGCCGGCUAACUACGUG
rnacentral:rRNA from 1 species